rnacentral:lncRNA from 1 species
GGAAGUGACUGAUCAAUUCAGGGGCGUGGGGUUCGUUUAGGUUUUGCCCUGUGUAUGACCUCGUUUGGAGCCAUGAAACCAGGUGGCUUUUCUACAAUAUAAAGAUGGAAAUGGGAUGAUGUUCAUUGCAAAUUAGGGAAGCUCUUCCACGAGUUCACGAAUGGAAAUAACAUCAAGAGUUUUUCAUCUUCUUAGUGUGCAAGGUGAUCUUAAUGCUCAUUGCUACUCAACUUCCAGAAAAAUACUUGAAGAUAAUUUCUUCUUUCAGCAUAUUAACAUAGAGGAUAUUUCAGAUAAAUAUCAAGCAGUGCAAUUCCUGGAUUUAUGAUGUCUGAGGAAUAGUCUUAGUGGAUUAUCCCAAACUUGACACAUUUUUUGCAAAAUGCUAUACAAAAAGAAGAUACAUGCGAUUAUGACAAGAUUCUCCACUUGGUGUGACCAGUCUCAUACAACCCAAGGCUGUGUGUCCAAAGGCAACUGCACUGAAUACUGGAAAGCAUUUAUUUGUUUGCUAAAUUGCUCUCUUUCCACCAGCGAUAUCAACUCUGAAAUACUUUUUAGAUCUUGACAAUAAUCAAAAGGUAGCCAGGUGCAUCGG